rnacentral:rRNA from 1 species
GAGUGAUAGAAGGNUUUCGGAUCGUAAAGCUCUGUUGCCAAGGAAGAACGUCUUCUAGAGUAACUGCUAGGAGAGUGACGGUACUUGAGAAGAAAGCCCCGGCUAACUACGUGCCAGCAGCCGCGGUAAUACGUAGGGGGCAAGCGUUGUCCGGAAUUAUUGGGCGUAAAGCGGGCGC